rnacentral:tRNA from 1 species
ACCCACGUGGCGAAAUUGGUAGACGUGCUACCUUGAGGGGGUAGUGUCCUAAGGAUGUGCUGGUUCGAAUCCAGUCGUGGGUA